CGGGUCCCCCGCGUCCGCGCGCGGAGAACUCGACCUGCGGACCUCAUGCAGAGCGGUCCGCCCCUCCGAGGGCGCGCCCGGCCGCCGCUGGUUGGCUGCGCGAGUCCGGAAUUAGAUUUUUCAGCCAAUGAGAAUGGCACGGGGUGUGACGCGCGGGGACGUCACGGGAAUUCCCCCCGCCCGGGGGCGGGAAAGGGGCUUUCCCCGCCAGAGCCCCGGGGCGAGGUAUCUCGGCGGGACGGGUGGAGAGCCGCGGAAACCGAGCCGCUGCCACGGCGAGAGGCCGGCUCAGACCCCUGGCUGGCCGCCUCGAGGGUCGGAGCGCACGUCCACACCCCCGUUCAAAACGCGCGAACCGUGAGUACUGGGCACCUGGCCGCAAGCAGCGCCCCGCGCACUCGCGCCCGACACACCUCCCGCACAGCCCGGAGGCGCGCGCCUGGCCCGGCCCGACAGACCUCUCUAGACACGCUCGUUUGCACACGCACACCUGGCAUGCGCGCGCGCGGGAGCACUGAGGGCGAAGCAUGGGGAGGGAAUGCGGCACCCCAUGAGACUGGGGGCGAGUGGGUGCGCAAGGCCGGCCCCACGGGGAAGCGCCCCCCGCCCACGGGCCGCAGGAAUGUCCCCCAAAAGCCCCGGGGGUGAAUCAGCCGCAGGCUUCCUCCGGGCAGAAAAUCCCAAGGUUGCUCCAGGCCCGGCCCCUCACUGCGCUGCCCAUCCGCCCGCCCGGUCCGCCGAGCCUCCCACCCCACCCGCCGCGGAGGCGGGGCCAGUGGCGUCACUUCCAGGCCCGCCCUCCGGCCCCGCCUCCCUCUGGUAUUUUCGGGACUUUCCUAAACUGCUCUAACUUUCUGCCCCUUCCCGGCCCAGCCCGGCUCCGCCGGAUCUCGCCCGCCACACCCCGGACGGGCAGCUGGAGGAGACCGGGGACCCCUCCUGCCCACCCUGUCCUGAUCUGUCCCCCGUCCCCUGCCGCUCUUCCCCACCGUAGGCCGGUGCCUCAAACUCUAGGAAGCACAAGCAGGGCCGAAGCCGCCAGGCCGGACCCAGCCCAGAGGCAUGGACAGUUGCUACGACCCAGGCCUGGAUGGCCUCGAUGAAUAUGAUGAUUUCAAAUUCAGCCCCUCCUUUGUGGAACCCAAGGAGCCAGCCCCAGAGACGGCUGAUGGCCCCUACCUGGUGAUUGUGGAACAACCUAAGCAGGUGAGUGAGCCAAAGGCGUGUGUGGCCCGGCUUCAGCUUUGGGGGCGAGUGGCAGCUUAGGUGGCCAUGGUUCGGGGAAGAUGCUUGGGGCCGCUGUGGUCCCCGCCGGCCGGGAGCAUGGCUGCCUUGGGUGGUCUUCUUGACGGCAAUGUCACUCUGCCUGGACCUUCAGCGUGGCUUUCGAUUUCGGUAUGGCUGUGAAGGUCCCUCCCAUGGAGGCCUGCCGGGUGCCUCCAGCGAGAAGGGCCGGAAGACCUACCCCACUGUCAAGGUGAGCCAGCCGGGGCUGGAGGGAGGACAGCGAGGCUGGGGCAUCAGCUGACAGCCCUGCCCCCUCAGAUCUGUAACUACGAGGGACUGGCCAAGAUUGAGGUGGACCUGGUGACACACAGUGACCCGCCUCGUGCUCACGCCCACAGCCUGGUGGGCAAGCAGUGCUCGGAGCUGGGGGUCUGCGCCGUGUCUGUGGGACCCAAAGACAUGACUGCCCAGUAGGUGGCCUCAAGCCCUGACCCCCGUUGCGUGCUAGUUCUAGGCCCCAGCCCACCUCUGCUUAGGGCCAAGUACUAUAAACUGGAACAGCUUCCCGGAGGAAGCAGGGCUGGGCUGGGGUGGGCUGGCUCGGGAGGCGACCUCAGGAGGAAAGGACUGCUUGGGGCUCCUCUGACUCCUCCCGGCCCAGGUUUAACAACCUGGGCGUCCUGCAUGUAACCAAGAAGAACAUGAUGGAGAUUAUGAUUCAGAAACUUCAGAGACAGCGGCUCCGCUCCAGGCCCCAGGGCCUCACAGCUGAGCGGCGGGAGCUGGAGCAGGAGGCCAAGGAGCUCAAGAAGGUGAUGGAUCUGAGCAUCGUGCGCCUGCGCUUCUCCGCUUUCCUCCGGGCCAGCGACGGCUCCUUCUCCCUGCCCCUGAAGCCGGUCAUCUCCCAGCCCAUCCACGACAGCAGUGAGUGUUCAGGCCAACAGGGCCAGGCCUGGGGGCCAGAGGCAGCGCGGGGCCCUCCAGGUGCAGGGUCCAUGGCCCUGGGCUCGGACUUGGCCCUGCCCUGUGACACUGUGGCCCCCAGCGAGUCAAUUCUCCCGCCGAGGGUCGCUUCUGUCGGGGGGCAAAGGCGGGUGCUCAAGUCCGGAGCUUCUGGGUGGCGGAGGUAAGGGCAG
ensembl:lncRNA